UGCAGUCGAGCGGUAACAGGAAGCAGCGUUGCUGCUUUGCUGACGAGUGGCGGACGGGUGAGUAAUGUCUGGGAAACUGCCUGAUGGAGGGGGAUAACUACUGGAAACGGUAGCUAAUACCGCAUAACGUCACAAGACCAGAGAGGGGGACCUUCGGGCCUCUUGCCAUCACAUGUGCCCAAAUGGGAUUAGCUAGUAGGUGGGGUAACGGCUCACCUAGGCGACGAUCCCUACCUGGUCUGAGAGGAUGACCACCCACACUGGAACUGAGACACGGUCCAGACUCCUACGGGAGGCGGCAGUGGGGAAUAUUGGACAAUGGGCGCAAGCCUGAUGCGCCCAUGCCGCGUGUAUGAACAAGGCCUUCGGGUUGUAAAGUACUUUCAACGAGGAGGAAGGCGAUGUGGUUAAUAACCGCGUCAAUUGACGUUACCCGCAAAAGAAGCACCGGCUAACUCCGUGCCAGCAGCCGCGGUAAUACGGAGGGUGCAAGCGUUAAUCGGAAUUACUGGGCGUAAAGCGCACGCAGGCGGUCUGUCAAGUCGGAUGUGAAAUCCCCGGGCUCAACCUGGGAACUGCAUC
rnacentral:rRNA from 1 species